rnacentral:rRNA from 1 species
GAUGUGCCCAGAUGGGAUUAGCUAGUAGGUGGGGUAAUGGCUCACCUAGGCGACGAUCCCUAGCUGGUCUGAGAGGAUGACCAGCCACACCGGAACUGAGACACGGUCCAGACUCCUACGGGAGGCAGCAGUGGGGAAUAUUGCACAAUGGGCGCAAGCCUGAUGCAGCCAUGCCGCGUGUAUGAAGAAGGCCUUCGGGUUGUAAAGUACUUUCAGCGGGGAGGAAGGUGUUGAGGUUAAUAACCUCAGCAAUUGACGUUACCCGCAGAAGAAGCACCGGCUAACUUCGUGCCAGCAGCCGCGGUAAUACGAAGGGGGCUAGCGUUGUUCGGAAUUACUGGGCGUAAAGCGCACGUAGGCGGAUAUUUAAGUCAGGGGUGAAAUCCCGGGGCUCAACCCCGGAACUGCCUUUGAUACUGGGUAUCUUGAGUGUGGUAGAGGUGAGUGGAAUUGCGAGUGUAGAGGUGAAAUUCGUAGAUAUUCGCAGGAACACCAGUGGCGAAGGCGGCUCACUGGACCACAACUGACGCUGAGGUGCGAAAGC